UACAGAGGGUGCAAGCGUUGUUCGGAAUCAUUGGGCGUAAAGGGCGUGUAGGCGGUUUGUUAAGUCAUGUGUGAAAUCCCUCGGCUCAACCGGGGAACGACGCUUGAAACUGGCAAGCUAGAGUACCAAAGAGGGCGGUGGAAUUCCCGGGUGUAGCGGUGAAAUGCGUAGAGAAUGGGGGAGAACACUCGUGGCGAAGGCGGCCAGCUAGACCAAGUUCUGACACUGGAGGCGCGAUAGCGUGGGGAGCAAAC
rnacentral:rRNA from 1 species